GUUGGGAAAUGAUGAGUUGAUUUUUCAGAGUAUCAUGGAUUCAUGGUUGUCUGCUGAGCUCAUUUUUAUUUGCACGUCAGUCUGAUCCCAGU
rnacentral:snoRNA from 1 species